rnacentral:sRNA from 2 species
AGAUUGGUUUCUUACGUCCUUGGGUAAUUCUUCUUUCGAGAGCCUUCCUGUGUGGCUCCUCAUGGUUGGGGUUUACUGGCAAAAUAUAGUCCGCUAUCGCAAAAGGGCAAAGCGUUUGGCUGAGUGCUUACUUGAGAAACUCCGUCUGGUGUCUGACGCCGGUCAAAAUGCACACUUGAACCCCCUUGCGCAGCGCCUAUCUCGCCUGACCAAAACAUUAACCCUGUAUCAUCCAUCCUCCUUUAUUCUUCCUCGGACCUGGGCCAAAUACGAAAGUGUACUAUUAUCAUGUCUAGACAUGAACCUCCCAGACGACAAGGCCGCUUUCCA